UUCACUGACUUCCUGCUGAAGACCACCAGCUUCGUUCCUCCAGUCCUCCAGAAGGAUGCGUCCUUUUAAAAAUACACCAAUAAAAGAACAUCUGUCUCUCCUCGGACUGUUUUGAGGCCUUCUGGGAAAUGCAGGAAACACCAAACUCCUCCAUAGAAACCCGGUGAAGACCACAGAAGAUCUGCAUGGAGGCUAACGGCUUAAACAUGACGUCAUGUCAGACAUCUGCAGGCUGUGGAGCGCCAGGGGGGCGGAGCCAGCCCCGUGAUUGGCCGGCGGGGAACAGCUCUCGACCCUGGGGACUGACCCCACACCCAUGUGUGUGUGUGUGUGUGUGCGUGUUUGUGUUCUUCAAGCAUAUUUCCUGUUGCGUUGCUUCUUCUUCUUCUUCUUCUUCUUCUUCUUCUUAGAACUGGUGAGUUUUGUCGUUUGUUUUUUGACCUUUUUAAAUCCCAGUUUGAGAUCUUGUGCUUCAUUUUUUUAUUUGUGUUUUGCUGCAAACACACAGCUAAUGAUUGAUGCCAUCUUACAGAAUAAAUGAAAGAGACUGAAAGAAUGAACUCGUCUGUAGGUUAGAGAAUAUUUUCUGAAUUAAAUGAGUUUAAUGUGAUAAACACUGACUCCAUAGUUCACGGCAUGAAAAACGUUUUGCAAUGAAUUAAUUCCAGUUUAGACGUUUUAUUUACAGUUACGAGAAGGUCGCGUGAUUUGCAUGUGUGUAUUCAGGAUGGAUCAUCUCCACUGAACAGAAGUAGCUGCUUCCUCUCUACUUUUCUCAAUGUUUGAUUAUGACUUCUGCUGCUGAGGUCAUCAUGAACUUCUCCACCGCCGCUGUCUCUGCGACGACGUUUGAGCCGACGUCGUUUGAGCCGACGACGUUUGAGCCGACGUCGUUUGAGCCGACGCCGUAUGUGCCGACGCCGUAUGUGCCGAUGCCGUAUGUGCCGAUGCCGUCGACUUUCCCGACGCCGUUUGAGCCGACCUCUCCUCCUCCUGGAGUAGUGACGGAGAUACUGACGAAGGGCAGCCACGUGGAUGACGGCGUGUUCGCGGCUUUGAUUGCAGGUGAGAAACGUUUCCUCCCGCCGGGGUCCCGCCAACGCAGCUUCCCCGUCAUCUUCUCGCUGUCCACCUUCUCCUCCUCAGCCAUCGCCGUCUCCGUGCUGCUGCUGCUCGUCUGCAUCGGCGUGCUGCUGCUGUGGAGCUCGUCCAGACACAAAGGCUCCUACGCCACCAACGAGACGGAGGGCGAGGAGGGCGAGGACGAGGAGGAGGCGCUCCAGAGGACCAGGGUGGAGGACUGA
ensembl:lncRNA